GACGAACGCUGGCGGCGUGCUUAACACAUGCAAGUCGAACGGAAAGGCCCUGCUUUUGUGGGGUGCUCGAGUGGCGAACGGGUGGGUAACACGUGAGUAACCUGCCCUUGACUUUGGGAUAACUUCAGGAAACUGGGGCUAAUACCGGAUAGGAGCUCCUGCUGCACGGUGGGGGUUGGAAAGUUUCGGCGGUUGGGGAUGGACUCGCGGCUUAUCAGCUUGUUGGUGGGGUAGUGGCUUACCAAGGCUUUGACGGGUAGCCGGCCUGAGAGGGUGACCGGCCACAUUGGGACUGAGAUACGGCCCAGACGCCUACGGGAGGCGGCAGUGGGGAAUAUUGCACGAUGGGCGGAAGCCUGAUGCAGCAACGCCGCGUGCGGGAUGACGGCCUUCGGGUUGUAAACCGCUUUCGCCUGUGACGAAGCGUGAGUGACGGUAAUGGGUAAAGAAGCACCGGCUAACUACGUG
rnacentral:rRNA from 1 species